AAAGCGCGCGUAGGCGGUUACGUAAGUUGGAUGUGAAAUCCCCGGGCUCAACCUGGGAAUUGCAUUCAAAACUGCGUGGCUAGAGUGUGGGAGAGGAAGGUAGAAUUCCAGGUGUAGCGGUGAAAUGCGUAGAUAUCUGGAGGAAUACCGAUGGCGAAGGCAGCCUUCUGGCCUAACACUGACGCUGAGGUGCGAAAGCAUGGGGAGCAAACAGGAUUAGAUACCCUGGU
rnacentral:rRNA from 1 species